rnacentral:rRNA from 1 species
AUUGAACGCUGGCGGCAGGCUUAACACAUGCAAGUCGAGCGGAGAGAGGUAGCUUGCUACUGAUCUUAGCGGCGGACGGGUGAGUAAUGCUUAGGAAUCUGCCUAUUAGUGGGGGACAACAUUUCGAAAGGAAUGCUAAUACCGCAUACGUCCUACGGGAGAAAGCAGGGGAUCUUCGGACCUCGCGCUAAUAGAUGAGCUUAAGUCGGAUUAGCUAGUUGGUGGGGUAAAGGCCUACCAAGGCGACGAUCUGUAGCGGGUCUGAGAGGAUGAUCCGCCACACUGGGACUGAGACACGGCCCAGACUCCUACGGGAGGCAGCAGUGGGGAAUAUUGGACAAUGGGCGGAAGCCUGAUCCAGCCAUGCCGCGUGUGUGAAGAAGGCCUUAUGGUUGUAAAGCACUUUAAGCGAGGAGGAGGCUACUUUAGUUAAUACCUAGAGAUAGUGGACGUUACUCGCAGAAUAAGCACCGGCUAACUCUGUGCCAGCCGCCGCAGUAAGAC